rnacentral:rRNA from 1 species
CAGCCGCCGCGGGAAUGCGUAGGUGGCAAGCGUUGUCCGGAAUUAUUGGGCGUAAAGGGCUCGCAGGCGGUUUCUUAAGUCUGAUGUGAAAGCCCCCGGCUCAACCGGGAAGGGUCAUUGGAAACUGGGAAACUUGAGUGCAGAAGAGGAGAGUGGAAUUCCACGUGUAGCGGUGAAAUGCGUAGAGAUGCGGAGGAACACCAGUGGCGAAGGCGACUCUCUGGUCUGUAACUGACGCUGAGGAGCGAAAGCGUGGGGAGCGAACAGGAUUAGAUACCCCGGUAGUCCCUGUCUCUUAUAC